rnacentral:lncRNA from 1 species
AAAACGCAUGCAACCUUCCACCUUGAAGAACAGCACCACAUCAUCUCUUUGCUAAGCCUGAUUCCCGUUUUCUGGAUAGGAAACUGACACACAAAGUAUCUCCAGAAUCAUAUCAGAGGGUCCCGGUGAACAUCAAAUGAAGAACUAUGUGUAAGCGCCAGGUACAGUGUACCUGGCACGUAUUAGGUUUUAAUAAACGGCAACCAACUCUG